UACAGAGGUCCCAAGCGUUGUUCGGAAUUACUGGGCGUAAAGGGCUCGUAGGCGGCCAACUAAGUCAGACGUGAAAUCCCCAGGCUCAACCUGGGAACUGCGUCUGAUACUGGAUGGCUUGAAUUCGGGAGAGGGAUGCAGAAUUCCAGGUGUAGCGGUGAAAUGCGUAGAUAUCUGGAGGAAUACCGGUGGCGAAGGCGGCAUCCUGGACCGACAUUGACGCUGAACGGCGAAAGCUAGGGGAGCAAACGGG
rnacentral:rRNA from 1 species